GUGCUGUGGUUCUGGCUCUCCUCGGACGAUCCGUGGGUGUGCAAGAAAGCCCUGCAGGUCUGCGCCCAGCUGCUGGAGGACUGCAGAGAUGGAGUGGCUUUUCAGACAAGAGGUGCCUACCUGCCGUUUGGCACCUUGGCGGGAUUGCUGGGGCCUCUGACCUGUGAGCCCACGAGCAGCUCCCGCCAGCUGGCCGCUGCCUGCCUCAGCUCCCUUCUCCACAUCCAAGGUGAGUGUGAGUAGAGCAGGCGCCUGCCGGCCCUCUGCCCCGCCUGGCCCUAGCGGGAACCUGGCAAGGGCCAUCCCGCUGCAGCGAGUUCAAGACUGACUCCCCUGGCCUUCAGCAAAGGCUGGGAAGGGAAGUUCAGUUGCCCUAAGUGGGACUCCCCUUUUCUCCCCGUGCUCGUUGCAGCCAAGGCCACGAACAGGCUGUUGGAGACAGACGACCCUGCGAGCUUGUGUGAGGGGCUGAGUGCUCGCAGCGACGCCUCUCAGCAGCUCCAGACCUCCAUCCGCAUCGCAGAGGUAAGGAGUGCCCUCAAGCUUGCCUUAUGUUCUGAAGAGCUGGAGCGGAGCCGUGACGGGCUCUCGAUCUCUCCUGGUUCUUGCAUCUUUCCAGGUCGUUUGCAAAAACGUCCCCAAAGAACAGGCCGCAGACUUCAUGAAUGCCAUCCUGGGGCCCUUCCGGCAUUCCAGAGGAAGGCGUGUGUGUGCUGCAGGCAACUGGAUGCUCACCUUUCUGGAAGCGUGUGGCAAGGACAUUGGUCCAGACGUAAGAGACAUUUUGCCAUGCCUUGGACUUUUUUGCUUUGGCUGUCGCACCACACAUCUUGCCGUUUGUGUGCUAAAGAAGCUCUCGGUGCAGAGUCAGGGCUCGGGCAGGGUGCUAGGGGUGAAAUUUCGCCUUCGAGCGUGAAAGCGUGGCAAGGGAGCAGGCGUGGCUCAUGGGCUGAACGUCCAUGUUCCCGUGCCAAGACGUUCUUUCUCCCCUGCUUCUUUCAGGUGCGAGGAAUCGUCUCCGCCCUGCACACCUGCACAGAGUCCAUGCUGGAGCCCUCGUUCGUGUACUUUGUGCAGCAAGCGGUGCUGAUCCUGGCCCGCCAUCACCGGGAGCUCACGAUAAACGUCAUCCUUGAGAAGUUUGUGCCUCUGGACAGAAACACACUGGAGCUGUGGAGGACUCUGGGGAGAGCCAGCAUUGGCCUCGGUGUGCUGAAGCACUUAGCGAGGAAGCUGAACAGAGUGGGAGACGACAGCUGCCAGCCCAGCUCGCCCACUCGCAGGCUGCACGCCCACCAGCCUUCUCCGGAGUCCUUGACUGUCACCCGUGCCAUCUCCGUAAUGGUGUCCGUGCAGUACAAGGAGGGGGUCCAGUGCUUGCUUCCCUCCCUCCUCCCUGGGCUCCUGCUGCAGCUCAGCAAGGCACUGGGGGAAGAGAUGCUGUCUGCGCCCCUCAGCCCCUGGAGAGGGCACGCUGAGGAUCAGCGGCAAGAGGGCAACGUGUGCAGGCCUUUCUGCAAAACUCUCACGGCAGUGCUGAGCAAAUGCACUGAGAAGAGCUGGCUGAGGCCGUUCUGGAGGCAGAAAAUGUCGGCGCUGCUGGAGAGCCCCCGCACUUAUGCCGAGGGCAUGUGCCUCCUGACGAGGUGAGAGCCCCAGGGCAGCAUCUCGCCUUCUUCUCGGUGGCUGCGCCCAGGGGAACGGCUGCCGGGGCCCGUUCCUGCGUGCUCGGGGAGCUCUGUGCAGGGCAGAGCAGCGCCUG
rnacentral:lncRNA from 1 species